AGUCGGAGCCUCUUUAUGGGGUGACGGCGUACCUCUUGCAUAAUGGGUCAGUGACUUACUGUAUCGUGCAAGCUUAAGCCGUUAGGUGGAGGCGCAGCGAAAGCGAGUCUGAAUAGGGCGUCAUAGUUCGUAGGAUUAGACCCGAAACCGGGUGAUCUAGCCAUGGGCAGGCUGAAGGUGCGGUAACACGCACUGGAGGGCCGAACCCACUGAUGUUGAAAAAUCACGGGAUGACUUGUGGCUAGGGGUGAAAGGCCAAUCAAACCGGGCAAUAGCUGGUUCUCCCCGAAAUAGUUUUAGGACUAGCGUUUUGCGUUCAGUCGGGGGGGUAGAGCACUGAAAGGAUUAGGGGACCUACCAGUCUACCAAACCCUCUCAAACUCCGAAUACCCCGACUCUAGAGCAAGGCAGUCAGACCGUGGGGGAUAAGCUCCAUGGUCGAAAGGGAAACAGCCCAGAUCGUC
rnacentral:rRNA from 1 species